rnacentral:lncRNA from 1 species
AUCUAUUCCUUGACAUAAAGUGACUCAGCAUAAGGUUUUGUGAAAACCCACCUCUACGAUACCUUAUUCGGAGCUAGACACUUUUCUUCUAUGAAAGUCAAACUUCAUAGCACUGAGAUGUGUUUGUUACAGUUGUUUCACUUGGGGAAAUUAGGACAACUGGAUUACUUGGUGUCACCUGGAAGCUCCUCUUUCAGGACUUUCCCUCCAAUUGAUGUUCACCUCUAGGUUACGUAUAAUACCUAAGAUAAUGCAAAUGCUAUGUGAGUAGUUAUUAUACUAUAUGGUUUUGUAUUUGUAUCAUUAAUAUCCUGGAGAUGUUGAAAAAAUAAGACCUAAUUUAUGCCCUGGAGGCAUUUAGAAAGAGAAAACUCAGCUAUAGGGGCUCAGUAAGGCAGGUUAAGGUGUAAAUUGAGACCUAUGGCUCUUUGAUGAUCUAGCCUUUUUUUUUGGUAUGUGCAACUGUGUAGUUUAUUAUAUAUGUAUCUAGGUUUUACAAUUUUCUUUUAUUUUACUUUAAGUUCCGGGAUACAAGUGCAGAAUGUACAGGUUUAUUACAUAGGUAUAUGUGUGCCAUUGUGGUAUGCUGCACCUAUCAACCUGUCAUCUAGGUUUUAAGGCCCGCAUGCAUUAGCUAUUUGUCAAUGCUCUCCCUCUCCUCACACUCUACCCCCUGACUGGUCCCAGUGUGUGUUGUUCCCCUCCCUGUGUCAAUGUGUUC